GCGAAGGAUCUUGCGGUUACGUUUGUCUCUGCCUUUGAUCUGGAAGAUCUCGAGCUUCUCGAUGAGUUGUUCUUGCUCGGCUUGGGACAUGAUACAGACUCUACAAAAAGGUUAAGAAAAUAGGCAGUUCAGGCAUCAAAGAUGCUUCCCCGGUUCCCCCGUCAUUACCGAUGUUCCACUAUAUCCUAUGGUUCUCUUGCAAGGCUCCAACUUCGGAAACUCAAUGUGUGUGGUUACUUUAUCAACACGAUUUUUACAUACAUUUAUAAAUCUCUAAUAAAAAUAUAUGUAAAAAUCAUGUGCUCUAAAGAUAUAUGUCAA